rnacentral:lncRNA from 1 species
CCUCAGCCAGUCGCCGGACUGGUUUUUCCGGCGGCCGAUUUCCGGCCAAACUUUGACCUCCUUGUUCUCCUUCGUUUCUCAACCAAUUUCUUCGUAUUUUAUACCAAAUUGAAGCCCCAAACACGUAGAAUCACGAUAGACUAGUUUAAGGCUCUAAAAAUCAAGAAAUCUCACCGGAAAAAUCCCAAGAAAAUCGGCCAAAGUUGAACCACGUGAUCCCGACGUCCAAAACCUUCAAACGAAGCACUCCGAGCUUCCUUGGGACCUCACAAAGCUCACUACAAGCUUAGAAUUCCCUGAAAAUCAACAUUUUACGUUUGCAUGAACAGUGACCAAAAAUGGAGGUUCGGGUUUCACGUGAUUCCGAGGGUUUCACGUCCUAAAACUAGUAACAAUCGACUUAAAACAUCUCAAGGAUGAAGAUUCUUACCUUGGUUGCUUCGAUCCACUGCGUUUUUGGGUGAUUUUGGGUG